rnacentral:misc_RNA from 1 species
GGGGGGGUGGGGUUGGGUUUGGAAGGGAGUGGUGAGGGAUCUAUAAGGAGAUGAAAAUGACGAUGACAGUAUUAAGAAAAAAGAUCAUCCUAUUACAAUUAACUCUGCAAGCUCCAAGUUCGGGGCUACGAGCAAGCAGUAAUAGGUCCCUGCAAAAGUCACAACAAUGCACCUACUCAAUUGUUCAUUAAACAGACCUCUGAGCUAUAAAAUUACACGUGGCCUAUGUUACUCAGACUCAGGUAUGAGUGUCAGGAAUGGAUACAUACCUGUAUGUUAGACUUGUGAACUUUCUAAAUAAA